rnacentral:rRNA from 1 species
AUUGAACGCUGGCGGCAGGCCUAACACAUGCAAGUCGAGCGAGCGGCGGACGGGUGAGUAAUAUCUGGGAAACUGCCUGAUGGAGGGGGAUAACUACUGGAAACGGUAGCUAAUACCGCAUCCAAUCAGAUCUGCCCAGAUGGGAUUAGCUAGUAGGUGGGGUAACGGCCCACCUAGGCGACGAUACCUAGCUGGUCUGAGAGGAUGACCAGCCACACUGGAACUGAGACACGGUCCAGACUCCUACGGGAGGCAGCAGUGGGGAAUAUUGCACAAUGGGCGAAAGCCUGAUGCAGCCAUGCCGCGUGUGUGAAGAAGGCCUUCGGGUUGUAAAGCACUUUCAGCGGGGAGGCGUUACCCGCAGAAGAAGCACCGGCUAACUCCGUGCCAGCAGCCGCGGUAAUUC